rnacentral:rRNA from 1 species
UACGUAUGGACCGAGCGUUGUCCGGAAUCAUUGGGCGUAAAGGGUACGUAGGCGGUUAGAAAAGUUUGAAGUGAAAGGCGAUAGCUCAACUAUAGUAAGCUUUUAAAACUGUGUAACUUGAGAGAUGGAAGGGAAAGUGGAAUUCCUAGUGUAGCGGUGAAAUGCGCAGAGAUUAGGAGGAAUACCAGUGGCGAAGGCGACUUUCUGGCAAUCAUCAGACGCUGAGGUACGAAAGCGUGGGGAGCAAACAGG